rnacentral:lncRNA from 1 species
GUAUUGCCUUGAUCUAACAGAAUGCCAUAAACUUGCUCAACUUCCAGACUCUAUAGGCUCCCUGGUGUCUCUACAGCGGUUGUUAUUGUCGGGAUGCCACUCGUUGAGACAAAUCUCAGACUCGAUUGGAAAGUUGACAUCAUUGAUUGAGAUGCAUUUGAAAUCUACGGCCAUUGAAGAAUUACUUGAAUCCAUUGGUUCUUUGAAGGAGCUCGAGACUCUAGAUGUCUCUUAUUGCAAAUCGUUAGCCCGCAUACCCAACUCAAUAGGCAAUUCAACAUCUCUGUCUCAUUUUGACCUAACAGGAUGCCAUAAACUGGUUCAACUUCCAGACUCUAUAAGCUCAUUCGUGUCUCUACAACAGUUGUUACUGUCGGGAUGCCACUCAUUGAGACAAAUCCCAUACUCGAUCGGAAAGUUGAUAUCAUUGACUGAGCUGCAUUUGAAAUCUACGGCCAUUGAAGAAUUACCUGAAUCCAUUGGUUCUUUGAAAGAGCUCAAGACUCUAGAUGCCUCUUUUUGUGCAUCGUUAAUCCGCAUACCCAACUCAAUAGGCAAUUCAACAUCUCUAUGUUGCCUGUCCUAAGCAAUUGUCGAAAGCUUGCUCAACUUCCAAACUCCAUAAGCUCCCUCGUGUCUCUAUCGCAAUUGCUGUGUCGGGAUGCCACUCGUUGAGACAAAUCCCAAGCUCGAUCGGAAAGUUGACAUCAUUGAUUGAGCUGCAUUUGAAAUCUACGGCCAUUGAAGAGUUGCCUGAAUCCAUUGGUUCUUUGAACAAGCUCAAGACUCUAGAUGUCUCUUAUUGCAAAUCGUUAGCCCACAUACCCAACUCAAUAGGCAAUUCAACAUCUCUGUCUCGCCUAGACCUAACAGAAUGCCAUAAACUUGCUCAACUUCCAGACUCUAUAGGCUCCUUUGUGUCUCUACAGCGGUUGUUAUUGUCGGGAUGCCACUCGUUGAGACAAAUCCCAGACUCAAUCGGAAAGUUGACAUCAUUGAUUGAGAUGCAUUUGAAAUCUACGGCCAUUGAAGAAUUACCUGAAUCCAUUGGUUCUUUGAAGGAGCUCAAGACUUUAGAUGCCUCUUAUUGUGCAUCGUUAGCCCGCAUACCCAACUCAAUAGGCAAUUCAACAUCUCUGUCUUGCCUUGACUUAACAGAAUGCCAUAAACUUGCUCAACUUCCAGACUCUAUAAGCUCCCUCGUGUCUCUACAGCGGUUGUUAUUGUCGGGAUGCCACUCGUUGAGACAAAUCCCAGACUCGAUCAGAAAGUUGACAUCAUUGAUUGAGCUGCAUUUGAAAUUUAAGGACAUUGAAAGAUUACCUAAAUCCAUUAGUUUUUUUAAGGAGCUCAGGAUUCUAGAUGGCUCUAUCAUGCAUCGUUAGCCUAUAGAUCUAUUUCAAUAAGCAAUUCAAGACCUCAUUCCCCAACUCAAUAGGCAAUUUAACAUCUCUGUCUCGGCUUGACCUAUGCUACUGUUAUAAACUUGUUCAACUUCCAGACUCUAUAGGCUCCCUCGUGUCUCUACAACAAUUGUUUUUGUCGAGAUGCUUCUCGUUGAAACAAAUCCCACACUCGAUUGGAAAGUUGACAUCAUUGAUUGAGUUGCAUUUGGAAUUUUCGGCCAUUGAAAAAUUACCUGAAUCCAUUGGUUCUUUGAAUGAGCUCAAGACUCUACAUGUCUUUUACUGCCAAUCGUUAGGUCGCAUACCUAGCUCAAUAGGCAAUUUCACAUCUAUGUCUUCCCUUAACCUAGAUGAAUGCCAUAAACUUGUUCAACUUCCAGACUCUAUAGGCUCAAUUGUGUCUCUACAACAGUUGUUAUUAUCGGGAUGCCACUCGUUGAGACAAAUCCCAGACUCGAUCGGAAAGUUGACGUCAUUGAUUGAGCUGCAUUUGAAAUCUACGGCCAUUGAAGAAUUACCUAAAUCCAUUGGUUCUUUAAAGGAGCUCAAGACUCUAGAUGUCUCUUAUUGCAAAUCGUUAGCCCGCAUACCCAACUCAAUAGGCAAUUCAACAUCUCUGUCUCACUUUGACCUAACAGAAUGCCAUAAACUUGCUCAACUUCCAGACUCUAUAGGCUCCCUGGUGUCUCUACAGCGGUUGUUAUUGUCGGGAUGCCACUCGUUGAGACAAAUC